rnacentral:lncRNA from 1 species
AAGCUUAAAGUCUAAAACCUGCUUUCCAGCUAACAUGUCCUGAAAGACCACUACCUUCAUUUAAUAGAAAAAUACCUCACUCUCUACAGAGCCCUAGAUGUUAUCUUCCUUCUGGGAAACCCAUGUGCCCCGACCUUCUUUAUGGCUUUUGGGAUAGGUUGGCUGGGGAACUCUGCUCCAUAUCAUCCUUAAUCAAGGAGCCAGAGCUCAAGAAGGUCAAGGAACUCCUGAUCUCCACUUUAAGCUAUGCCAUCUGGGA